rnacentral:rRNA from 1 species
GAUGAACGCUGGCGGCGUGCCUAAUACAUGCAAGUCGAGCGAACGGACGAGAAGCUUGCUUUUCUGAUGUUAGCGGCGGACGGGUGAGUAACACGUGGAUAACCUACCUAUAAGACUGGGAUAACUUCGGGAAACCGGAGCUAAUACCGGAUAAUAUAUUGAACCGCAUGGUUCAAAAGUGAAAGACGGUGUUGCUGUCACUUAUAGAUGGAUCCGCGCUGCAUUAGCUAGUUGGUAAGGUAACGGCUUACCAAGGCAACGAUGCAUAGCCGACCUGAGAGGGUGAUCGGCCCCACUGGAACUGAGACACGGUCCAGACUCCUACGGGAGGCAGCAGUAGGGAAUCUUCCGCAAUGGGCGAAAGCCUGACGGAGCAACGCCGCGUGAGUGAUGAAGGUCUUCGGAUCGUAAAACUCUGUUAUUAGGGAAGAACAUAUGUGUAAGUAACUGUGCACAUCUUGACGGUACCUAAUCAGAAAGCCACGGCUAACUACGUG